AAAGGCAGCGGCGUCGGUUUCUUUUUUUUUUCGUUUUCCGAAAGGAAACACUCGUCGCAAAGUAUGGGUGCAAGCUGUGCGCCAAGAAAAAUUGCAGCCCUCAGACAGCAGCAGGAUUUGCGGCCUACAUUUCAUCACUGGUGCUCCGUCUCCAUUCCCGAACCACACGGACUGGGCACCUAGCAUUAUUGCCUUCAAGAGGGCUAACCGCGAAGCUGAAGAAAAGAAAUGCGACAGAUUCGAACAGACGUUCAAGCGAAAACGUUGGUAGGCUUCUAACCACGGCUCAGUGGUCCACACAGGAUGCGUUGUAGCAGCCUGUGCUGCUUAUCCCAGCCGAGACAACGCGAACGCCGAAGCAG
rnacentral:lncRNA from 1 species